GGCCAGCAGCCGCGGUACUACCGGCAGCCCGAGUGAUGGCCGAUCUUAUUGGGCCUAAAGCGUCCGUAGCUGGCUGCGCAAGUCCGUCGGGAAAUCCACUCGCUCAACGAGUGGGCGUCCGACGGAAACUGCACAGCUUGGGACCGGAAGGCGCGACGGGUACGUCCGGGGUAGGAGUGAAAUCCCGUAAUCCUGGACGGACCGCCGAUGGCGAAAGCACGUCGCGAGGACGGAUCCGACAGUGAGGGACGAAAGCCAGGGUCUCGAACCGGAUUAGAAACCCGAGUAGUCC
rnacentral:rRNA from 1 species